AAAUUCAAUUUGCCCUACCAGGAGCAGGGCGUAUUCCUGUCUUUGAAUAAUGUGAACCUGUAUCUUUGACUACAAAGUGAUAAGUCAGCGCAACACUUGAUCCUAGGAUUGUCAUGAUAAAAAGGACCAAAAGCAGACGAUGGCGUCGAAAGAAGCUCUGUUUCUUCUUAGGCAAAUAUUCAGUGUUCUCUUCCAAACUUCGAUGAAAGUCGCAAGGGUGAACUCUCUUUGGGUAAAUACUUAGCUUAGGAGACGAGUUUGUGCACAUGUCUGAAUAUUUUCCUGUACCAAAGGAAUCAUCGGGUUCAUUCCUUUGAGUCACAAUGGUGGACUGCGAUCUUUUCAGCUGUCGUAUAGACAAAAAACUGUUUUGCUCCAUGCUGAUUGUUUACUAAUAGGCAUUGUUUACUAUAAUCAAAAUAUAUAAUGAAGUUUACAAAAUUUUGAAUUCUAAAUUUAGUUUGUGACCAUUGAAAAACCAUUAAGGGGGAAAAAGGAAAGGAAACAGUAUCUUUCUAGGGGGCCCGUCAAGGGGAGAAUAAAUUGGGAUUAAAGAUGAUUGAGCUUGAAUUAAAACUUUCAAUAUGAAAAAGCCUUUAUAAUGAUAUCCGGAAAAUAAACUAAAAUUUCAUUGAGCCUCAUUUGAAAUUGUAAUGCGUAUAAUCUUACUGUUUUAGAUCAUAGUAUUAUUAUUAUUUUUACGCUAAGCAUCACGUCCGGAAACUGGAAAAACUCUCGCCCGGAUUUGUUAAGUGGUUCCCCGCGAUUACUAUAAGACCUUUUGAGAAGGUGAUAUAAUAUUCCCCGUUAAAAACCAGCAUCAUUCGACAUCUGAUUUUUAACUGGAUAAAGUUUAUUAAUAGAUAAGCUUGUAACUCUUUUCUUUCAUUCGUUUUAGAGACUAAACGAUAGAGUUUCAGUUCACCAUUGACCAUCUGCUGAUCUUUAAUUUAAAGCAUCCUAUUCAAAAAAUAAUACCGGACGUGUUGAAAUUUAAGAAACUUAGAGGAUGGAAAUUCAAGUGAUCUUUAUAAGGAAAUAAUUAAAAGUAAAAAGAAAGUUUUUAAAGAAAGACCCCAUUCUUUUUGACACCCACAGAAUUUUAAAUAUAUAAAUCUGAAAGUCUGUCCCAAGAUAUUUAUGCAGCACAUUUGGACAAUGUUAAUAAGAAUAUACAUACCUGUGAAAGAAGUGCAAUUGAAAUCGAUAAAAAGGAAAAUUUCCAAGAUAUUUUCAUUGACAAAUUAUCACUUUUUCACUCCAACUUCUCAGGAACGAAAACUGAUUUCUUACGGGGAUUUAUAAUGGGGAAUGUUUACAUCAUUUCUCCAUUUGGAAGUCACUCGGAAUACCUCGCACAAUUUUUAAACGUUAUCACUUGGGCUUGCUGCAAUACAAAAUCCCCGUAGACAUCACAUUUUUAGCCGUGUUUUAAAACCUGAUUAGCUAAAAGAGGGGUUUCAACCGACAAAUCUUGGACUUUUUUCAUUCUUUUGAAUGAACAUCGUAUAAACCCUGAGGUAUUUAUAAAUAUCGAAUAAUUAGGCAAAAUGUCAAUCGAGAAUAUCUUGGGACAGGGUAUGAAUUCGAAAUAGUUAAAAAAAAAAACCAGAAUAUUAUUAUGCAUGUUUUAUGUAUAAAUUGAAAAUAUGACAAUUAUCAGUGAGUGUAGUUUCCCAGUGAUUUUAAAAGUAAUGAAGAUUGUUAUUUUUGUCAAUGUGAACAGAUUUGUUUAAUAGAGAAAAAUGCAAUCCACUUAUAUAUUAUACAAAUAUUAUACAAUAAUCUUGUUACGUCACACAUUAUUGGUUGGCUGGAUUUUCGGGGAAAGUUGUUGGUAUUUACAUACUAGUUUUUUUUUUAUAAAUGGUAUGUUUAUGCUCAUGUUGAAAUUAUUUUGUGCAACUGGGAAAUAAGUUUACGCACUCAUCGUUUAUAAGAUGAAUCAUUAACGAUGUUUGAUCUUCAUCAACAAAACUUUAUAAUUCAAUCCCACAAUAAAGAUUAUCCAAGAGU
rnacentral:sRNA from 1 species